CCAAGGAGUCUAACAUGUGCGCGAGUCAUUGGGACACGCAAACCUAAAGGCGAAAUGAAAGUGAAGGUCAGCCUCGCGCUGACCGAGGGAGGAUGGGCCGCGUCACGAUGCGGCCCCGCACUCCCGGGGCGUCUCGUUCUCAUUGCGAGAAGAGGCGCACCCAGAGCGUACACGUUGGGACCCGAAAGAUGGUGAACUAUGCCUGGUCAGGACGAAGUCAGGGGAAACCCUGAUGGAGGUCCGUAGCGAUUCUGACGUGCAAAUCGAUCGUCGGAACUGGGUAUAGGGGCGAAAGACUAAUCGAACCAUCUAGUAGCUGGUUCCCUCCGAAGUUUCCCUCAGGAUAGCUGGCACUCGCGUACAAAACGUACACGAGUCUCAUCCGGUAAAGCGAAUGAUUAGAGGCCUUGGGGCCGAAACGACCUCAACCUAUUCUCAAACUUUAAAUGGGUGAGAUCUCUGGCUUGCUUGAACUAUGAAGCCACGAGAUUUCGGAUCAGAGUGCCAAGUGGGCCACUUUU
rnacentral:rRNA from 1 species